GAAAACUUAGAAAUUAUCGUUGGAUCGAGAAAUGGACGUCCGAGAUUCGUCCACGUCACAAUGAGUUAAAAUUUAACUCGCAGAUUCACUCAUGGGUUAAAUUUUUACUGGGAGUUAAAUUUUAACUUAGGGUGACGUGGAUAAAUCUCGGACGUCAAUUUCUCGAUCCAACAGUAGUUUUCAAGUUUCC
rnacentral:pre_miRNA from 1 species